GGAAAGCACUCAGUUAGGCACACAUGAGGCGCUCAGUAGGCAUUGGACUUGGUGCAGAGGAGCUCCUGAAUGCUUUUGGACCAUUUUCUGCCCAUCUUCACCUCUUCCUACAUUGAUGCUAACUCCAGCCCUCCCCAAGGAGGCUCAGGCCAGGGAUUCCAAUUUCCAAAGCAGCCAUGAUGUCCCAGUUAGAGCCAGCAGAGGAACUGUGGAUGUUGCAAACAGAAGUGCGGUGGGGCUCCCAUGCAGGUGAGUGAGUGAACGCCCGGUAAAUCAGUACCCGCUGCUCAGUGAAGGCAUGCACAGUCUCUUUCAAGCUCUGCUAGUGAGCGUGGUUUGCUAUUUAUUUCGUGUCACUCACGGGAGACACUCACACCUGAUCCAUUCAUAGAGUGGAAAAUGAUUAUUUGGAAGCCAUGAAUUGAUCUGGGGUUUGCAAUUCCAGUUCUGAGAAGGAAAAUGAACAUUUAAAGGAUUCCAAAUAUUGUGUGGGCUUUUUGUUGGUCUCUGUUACCUACCCACAUUCAGAAUUCAUCGUUAUACAUGAGAUGUUCCCAAUUGCAUUCUCCUUCACAGGACAUUUCCAUUCCGAUUCAAAAUAUAGCACG
rnacentral:lncRNA from 1 species